rnacentral:rRNA from 1 species
GACAGAGGGUGCAAACGUUGUUCGGAAUUACUGGGCGUAAAGCGCGUGUAGGCGGCUGUGUAAGUCGGGCGUGAAAUCCCAUGGCUCAACCAUGGAAGUGCACCCGAAACUGCGUAGCUAGAGUCCUGGAGAGGAAGGUGGAAUGCUUGGUGUAGAGGUGAAAUUCGUAGAUAUCAAGCGGAACACCGGUGGCGAAGGCG